AGUGAAACCAGAGUAAAUUCUCAAAAAUCUUGUCAAAUAGAAUAUGCAGCAUGUUCCAAUUUUCCAAGAACGUGUUAUAAAUAAUUGAAAAACGCACACACAUUGUUAUAACAAUUAUUCAUUGUUACAUGUUUUUUAGUAAUAAAUGUUUAGCAUGUUUGGAUAUCGCUCUGAAAUAAACAUUUCAAUUACAUGUAUUUUUAAAUGCAAAAUUUCGUAAAUCAGGUUUCAACGUGAGGUUAGAAAAAAACAUCUUUUCGAAAAAUGCAAACAUAGCUAACUUACUUCCUGAUUGUAUUGAUAAAGCUCGAUUUUCCAACGCUUGAUUCUCCAAUUACGGCUAUGCUUAUCUUUAUUUCUUUCCAUUUCCCAAGUCUUUGAUCGUUUAACUGCUGCACAAACUCUAUUCCUUUGUUUUGAAAAGUCACAACAGUCUCCGAAUAAUAUUUUUGCGCCCGGUUCUUCAGACUCC